CAUGCUAUCUCCUAAAGCAGUCGUUCUGAAACCCAAUCUGGGGACAGUGCAGACUAAAUAAAAUUUCAUUUUGAUUUGGCCUCCCGCUGCGAACGGGACUGCUUUGUCUCAGCCGACAGAACCAGCAAGCCAGAAAGGUGUUGAAUACUAAAACACUGACUGAAAGGAAAAUUGUGUAAGUGCUGCUGCUCGGAUGCUCCAGAGAUUUUACUGGAAGAUUUGUCAUGCUGAUUUUAUUGUAAAUUUGAAGAUGCAUUUAACGGCUUUGAAGGACUUUAGCUUUCAUGGCCCUUUUGAGCCGCUUUGGCAGAAAAGCAAUCGCCCAUUUUAGAGAAGGGGGGAAGUAGAAAAUAAAGACUCCCUUCCAAUGGGAAUGAACUGUU